AAACCUAAAGCCCCAAAACGGGAUCGAAUCUCACUUCGUCACUGACUCACUGUCAGUCCCACUUCGCCGUCGCUGAUCAAGCCUUCGCCGUCGCCCUCUCACAUCGUCGUCGCUGAUCAGUUCUUCGCCGUUGCUAUCUCACAUCGCUGUCGCUCUCUCUCUCUCUGUCUGUCCUCACCGCGCCCCUCCUCCCCAAAGCUCAUCCGUCAGCCUCCAGCCUUACAUCUUAACGAGUUAACAUUGAACCCAUUCGCAACCUUUUUGCUGCCCUUUUCCUUGCCAGCAUUGGGAUGCUGAUUCAUGUUCAGUUUCUCUGGAAUCAUGUUGAUAUAUUUCUCGCGUCUGUCAUCUUAGUUAUCAUCAUAAAAACAAUUAUUCUAACCAUGGUUGUCAAGGGAUUUGGAUACAACAACAAAACAUCAUUCCUAGUUUGAAUAUCUCUAGCACAGAUAGGCGAAUUUGCUUUUGUUCUUUUAAGUCGUGCCUCUAAUCUCCAUCUAGUCGAGGGGAAAUUAUAUCUGCUGCUGCUUGGAACCACAGCACUUAGUCUGGUGACCACCCCUUUUCUAUUCAAGCUAAUCCCUGUUAAUGAGUUUUGGUAAACCUUAAAAACAAAACGAUAUUUUGCUCAUGUUAGUAUACUUGUGGCACAUAUUAUCCUUGAAACAUAGGCCACACGAGGAUGGUUAGGAUGGUUACUCUCGUUCUAGUUUUGAAACCUAAUCAACUUGGUUCUCAUGUGCUCUACGAUCCUAAUGCAAUGCAGUUUCUUAU